AUUGAACGCUGGCGGCAGGCCUAACACAUGCAAGUCGAACGAGGCGCGGACGGGUGUGUAAUGUCUGGAAAACUGCCUGAUGGAGGGGUAACACCACGGGAAACGGUCGCUAAUACCGUAUACCAUCAGAUGUGCCCAGAUGGGAUUAGCUAGGUGGUGGGGUAACGGCUCACCAAGGCGACGAUCCCUAGCUGGUCUGAGAGGAUGACCAGCCACACUGGAACUGAGACACGGUCCAGACUCCUACGGGAGGCAGCAGUGGGGAAUAUUGCACAAUGGGCGCAAGCCUGAUGCAGCCAUGCCGCGUGUAUGAAGAAGGCCUUCGGGUUGUAAAGUACUUUCAGCGGGGAGGCGUUACCCGCAGAAGAAGCACCGGCUAACUCCGUGCCAGCAGCCGCGGUAAUUC
rnacentral:rRNA from 1 species